AUGUGAGGGCGAUCUGGCUGCGACAUCUGUCAACCCAUUGAUCUCCAGGGUUGAUUCGGCUGAUCUGGCUGGCUAGGUGGGUAUCCCCUUCCUCCCUCACCGCUCCAUGUGUGUCCCUCCCGAAACUGUGCACUCGGUGGAAGAGGUCCACGUUCCAGGUAUAGAAGGAGUGUACCGAGGUCUCCAGUCUACGGUUCCAGGUACAUGAUAGCUGCGCUCCCCUGCUAGAACCUCCAAACAAGCUCAAGGAGUCACAUUCAGCUUAUGGUCUACUAACCACUUCAUCACAUUCAUUAAAU
rnacentral:snRNA from 1 species